rnacentral:lncRNA from 1 species
CUUGUGAACAACACGCUCAGAGGCCCACAUAGCUGUGGUAGUAGCCACUCUCUCAAACAAUUCCAAAGCUUCAUCAAUUGUCUUUGUGGAUAAGGAGCCAUUGGAUGAUGAGUCCACCAUGCUUUUAUAAGAUGGAAGUAGACUUGCAUAAAAAUAUUGGACCUGAAGCCCUUUGCUGAUGCCAUGAUGAGGGCACUUUCGAAGCAUGUUCUUGAAUCUAUUCCAAGCUUCAUCAAAGGAUUCGGUUUCUCCCUGCCGAAAUAUGGAUAUGUCAUGCUUCAACUUCGUAAUCUUAGCCGGUGGGAAGAAUUUGGUGCAAAAUUUUUGAGCCAAGUCAUUCCAAGUGGUGAUACUAGCAAUAGGCUGUGAAUCUAACCAUUCAAGCGCUCUAUUCCAUAGAGUAUGUGGAAAUAAUCUCAAUUUGAUUGCAUCAUCUGGAAUCCCUUGAUAUUUAAAGUGUUGACGCAUCUCGAAAAAUCGGGAGACAUGUGUAUAUGGAUUUUCAUCAGACCUGCCAUAAAAUUGAUGUUCAUUUUGGAAUAAAUGAAUGACAUUGGUCUUCAGCUGAAAGUUUGGUUGUCCAAACGGAGGAUAAACGAUGCUAGAUUGGCUUUGAAUAAUUUGUGGAGUCAUAAAGUCCCCAACUAGCAUGUUUCCUUCAUUAACCACUGCUUCUUCGUUCACUUGAAUAAUUGGAUUAUUCUAUCCGUUGGCUAUCUCUUGUUGUUUUUUUUCUCUUGCGUCUCUUUGCCUACGGUGAAAAGUACGUUCGAUUUCUGGAUCAGUUGGUAUCGGUUCACCGUCCCUCGAAUUUCGCAUAAAAUGCAAGAGAAAAUUAAAGUGCUAAAAUAACCGUAAAAUAAAAAUAAAACAAUAAUAAUAAUAAUAAAUAAAAUAAA